AAAAAAACAACACUACACUAGUAGUAUAGAUUUUAAGAAACAUUGGACUACAAAUGUCGUAAAUACUACAAUUUAUUAAUUAAUUUUCUUUCUGCUUUUUGAAAGAUUGAUUACAUUUGUAUUACUAGAUUGCACAGUACAGUACUAAUUCCCUACAUCUGACUACUAAAUGAUACAAUGUGGUGUGAACAGACUAGCAGCCACCCAGCAAGUCCCAUUUCACAGAGCUGAGACGUAACAGCAAAUUGAGCUCGGGGAAUGCAGCCUUGCUUGUGUUUGCACUGGCCAGGAGAUGAGCUUCACUGCCCGUUGCUGCAUGGUCACCAGGAAAAAGAAAAUAAGGGUCAUUUUCUUGCUUGGUUUUCUGCACACGCAGGAAGGACCUGGCACCAAGACUUGUGUCAGAGCCUGGAAGAAUCAGUCAUGGAUCCAAAACAGGGGCCUGUUUAGCCACACACAUUUUCAACUGUGAGCACUUGUAUUUCUGCAUUUGAAAUAUGAUGCUCUAGUUAAAUUGAGUCGCAGCUUUUAAGAACCAUUGGCUAUUACGUGAGAUCAUAUUUGUUUUAUUUUGCAUGUAAAAAGGACGUUGAUGGAGUACUGUUUAUCAGUGUUUGACCUGCAAUUCAAAACACAAUAUACGGUGCAUGUCUACUUUAUGUCAUUAUUGAUUUUUGUCUCAUGAGCCCCAAGGAAAUACUGCUUUCGAGUAAUGAUGCCGUACUCAACUAUUUGUAUUACUUUCUAUCCAUUUAGUCAAAACCCCCAUCACUCAUGUAUAUAUUACAGCACGCCACAUAGAUAUGAGCACAUUUUUUUUUUCAACCUAAAUAAAUUUUUAUAGCAUUCCAAUGGUUUUGUGUGUAGUCCUGCCUGCAGUGUGAGGUUUAAGGUGAAUGUGUGUGUGUGUGUGUGUGUGUGUGUGUGUGUGUGUGUGUGUGUGUGUGUGUGUGUGUGUGUGUGUGUGUGUGUGUGUGUGUGAGUGUGUGUGUGUGUGUGUGUGUGUGUGUGUGUGUGUGUGUGUGUGUGUGUGUGUGUGUGUGUGU